rnacentral:lncRNA from 14 species
GUUUUCUCAAGGGAAUAAAGGUGUUUUCACAGAGUAGUAAAUGUGUUUUCUCAAGGGAGUAAAGGUGUUUUCUCACAGGGCACUAAAGGUGUUUCCCAGGCACUAAAGGUGUUUCCCUGGCACUAAAGGUGUUUGCACAGGCACUAAAGGUGUUUCCCAGGCACUAAAGGUGUUUGCACAGGCACUAAAGGUGUUUCCCAGGCACUAAAGGUGUUUGCACAGGCACUAAAGGUGUUUGCACAGGCAUUAAAGGUGUUUGCACAGGCACUAAACGUGUUUCCCUGGCACUAAUGGUGUUUGCACAGGCACUAAAGGUGUUUCCCUGGCACUAAAGGUGUUUCCCUGGCACUAAAGGUGUUUCCCUGGCACUAAAGGUGUUUCCCAGGCACUAAAGGUGUUUCCCUGGCACUAAUGGUGUUUGCACAGGCACUAAAGGUGUUUCCCUGGCACUAAAGGUGUUUGCACAGGCACUAAAGGUGUUUGCACAGGCACUAAAGGUGUUUCCCUGGCACUAAAGGUGUUUCCCUGGCACUAAAGGUGUUUGCACAGGCACUAAAGGUGUUUGCACAGGCACUAAAGGUGUUUCCCAGGCACUAAAGGUGUUUCCCUGGCACUAAAGGUGUUUCCCUGGCACUAAUGGUGUUUGCACAGGCACUAAAGGUGUUUCCCUGGCACUAAAGGUGUUUGCACAGGCACUAAAGGUGUUUGCACAGGCACUAAAGGUGUUUCCCAGGCACUAAAGGUGUUUCCCUGGCACUAAAGGUGUUUCCCAGGCACUAAAGGUGUUUGCACAGGCACUAAAGGUGUUUCCCAGGCACUAAAGGUGUUUCCCUGGCACUAAAGGUGUUUUCCCAGGCACUAAAGGUGUUUCCCUGGCACUAAAGGUGUUUGCACAGGCACUAAAGGUGUUUCCCAGGCACUAAAGGUGUUUCCCUGGCACUAAAGGUGUUUGCACAGGCACUAAAGGUGUUUCCCUGGCACUAAAGGUGUUUCCCUGGCACUAAAGGUGUUUGCACAGGCACUAAAGGUGUUUCCCAGGCACUAAAGGUGUUUCCCUGGCACUAAAGGUGUUUCCCAGGCACUAAAGGUGUUUGCACAGGCACUAAAGGUGUUUCCCUGGCACUAAAGAUGUUUGCACAGGCACUAAAGGUGUUUCCCUGGCACUAAAGGUGUUUCCCUGGCACUAAAGGUGUUUGCACAGGCACUAAAGGUGUUUCCCAGGCACUAAAGGUGUUUCUCAGGGCAGUAAAGCUG